rnacentral:ncRNA from 1 species
CCGCCUGUGUCGAAUAACGCAGCUUCCAAAAGAAAUUUUGGUUGAAAAACGAGGUGAAUUCGGGGAAACCCCAAUGGGGCAAUCCCGAGCCAAGUCUCGAUUAACAUCGGGAAAGGUGUAGAGACUAUCCUUUAUGGAGUAGGACGUGAUUGUAAAAAUUUUACGUUCGAAGCGCCUCGCCCCUAAGUCUUAAAGAUAUGGGGAUGAUAUAGUCCAUACUUCUGGUAACAGGAGA